rnacentral:rRNA from 1 species
GCUGGCGGCAGGCCUAACACAUGCAAGUCGAGCGGUAGCACANGAGAGCUUGCUCUCUGGGUGACGAGCGGCGGACGGGUGAGUAAUGUCUGGGAAACUGCCUGAUGGAGGGGGAUAACUACUGGAAACGGUAGCUAAUACCGCAUAACGUCUUCGGACCAAAGUGGGGGACCUUCGGGCCUCACGCCAUCAGAUGUGCCCAGAUGGGAUUAGCUAGUAGGUGGGGUAAUGGCUCACCUAGGCGACGAUCCCUAGCUGGUCUGAGAGGAUGACCAGCCACACUGGAACUGAGACACGGUCCAGACUCCUACGGGAGGCAGCAGUGGGGAAUAUUGCACAAUGGGCGCAAGCCUGAUGCAGCCAUGCCGCGUGUGUGAAGAAGGCCUUCGGGUUGUAAAGCACUUUCAGCGAGGAGGAAGGGUUCAGUGUUAAUAGCACUGUNCAUUGACGUUACUCGCAGAAGAAGCACCGGCUAACUCCGUGCCAGCAGCCGCGGU